rnacentral:rRNA from 1 species
AUGCCGCCGCCGCGGCCGCCGCCGGUGCUGAUGGAAGAGCUCCUCGAGGAGGUCUUCUUCCGCCUUCCGCCGGACGAGCCCGCCUGGCUCGUCCGCGCCUCCGCCGCCUGCAAGCCAUGGCGCCGCAUCCUCGCCGACCGGGGCUUUCGCCGUCGCUACCGCGAGUUCCACCGGACGCCUCCCGUCCUGGGAUUCUUCGAAAAGGGCCCCAUCUACUCUCACUUCCCUGCCCAGGCCGACCAUCCCGAUUGGCAUGUCAUGGACUGCCGCCACGGCCGCGCCCUCUUCGCCGACAUCGGGAAGUCCUACCUCAUCGUGUUGGACCCCAUGACGGGCCACCAGCGCCGCGUGCCCUCGCCUUCGAACAACCUGAUCGGCUUCACUGCGGCGGUGCUCUGCACCGCACAAGGCUGCGACCACCACGGUUGCCAAGACGGGCAUUUCCUUGUGGCUGUUGUGCGCCCCAAGAAGUUUGAGGAAAUCACAUCGGGCUGGCUGUACUCAUCAGAGACUGACCUCUGGACGGAGUUUGCCUCUGUUAAUCACCCCAAUGCCAAUUAUUUCUCUAACAUGGAUGCGCCUAGCGUCCUUGUGGGCGAUGCACUCUACUUCAACAUCGAUGGCGUCAUCGAAUGCCAGCUUGGUACACUACGCUUGUCAACGUUCGAGAAGCCGAUCGAUGGCAAUGGGACUGUCAUGAUGGCGGAAGAUGGCGGGUUGGGAUACGCUGCCGUGGUUGAUGUCACAGAUCUAACCCUGUGGUCGAGGGAGGCUGGACCCGAGGGAGCCAUGGGAUGGACAAAACUCAGGGUAAUCGAUCUUAAGGCGCUACUCCCUGAUGGUGCCCUCUUUAUCACAACACAAUAUGGGAUCAGUAGGUCGCCGCGUUCAUUGAUGAUUAGUGGCAUCGCGGAGGGCACCCAAGUCAUUUUUGUGAGCACAUGGGUUGGUUCCUAUAUGGCCGAUCUCAAGUCUGGGCGAGUCAGGAUGGUCUCUCGUCCCGGCAGAAAAGUCUUCCCGUACAUGAAUUUCUACCUCCCAGCAAUGGAAGCAGCUUCCACGGGCCAGGGGCAAUGA